UAUGUGACACCAGAAUCAGUGG
rnacentral:miRNA from 1 species